rnacentral:rRNA from 1 species
AAACCGGUACCCAGUUCGGAUUGUAGGCUGCAACUCGCCUACAUGAAGUCGGAGUUGCUAGUAAUCGCGGAUCAGAAUGCCGCGGUGAAUGCGUUCCCGGGUCUUGUACACACCGCCCGUCACACCAUGGAAGUUGGGGGCGCCCGAAGUUGCCUAAGAAAUAAGGUACCUAAGGCGAAACCAAUGACUGGGGUGAAGUCGUAACAAGGUAGC